AUCUUCCGCAAUGGACGCCAGUCUGCCGGAGCACCUCCGCGUGAGCGAUGAAGGUUUUCGGAUCGUAGAACUCUGCUGUCAGUGACGAAUAAGUAUCGGAGUCACUGCCGGUACCUUGACGUUACCUGCCGCGACAUCCCCGGCUAACUACUUCCCACCCGCCGCGGUCAUACUUAGGUGGCAAGCGUUGUCCGGAUUUAUUGGGCGUAAAGCGCGCGCAGGCGGUCUGUUAAGUCUGAUGUGAAAUCUUACAGGUUAACUGUAAGCGGUCAUUGGAAACUGGGAGACUUGAGUGCAGAAGAGGAGGGUGGAAUUCCAUGUGUAGCGGUGAAAUGCGUAGAGAUAUGGAGGAACACCAGUGGCGAAGGCGACUCUCUGGUCUGUAACUGACGCUGAGGCGCGAAAGCGUGGGGAUCAAACA
rnacentral:rRNA from 1 species